UCCUCCUACAAAGGCGGGUUUUUGGUUCCUUGUCCUCAGACACGUAAGAAUCGGAGGCAAAGAUGUAUGGAUUUGCCAAGAUCUGGGGUCAGCUUGCUCCUCACAGGCUCUCGAUCAACUAUCCCACAGAG
ensembl:snoRNA predicted gene, 22944